CAGGCCUAACACAUGCAAGUCGAGCGGAAACGAGUUAUCUGAACCUUCGGGGAACGAUAACGGCGUCGAGCGGCGGACGGGUGAGUAAUGCCUAGGAAAUUGCCCUGAUGUGGGGGAUAACCAUUGGAAACGAUGGCUAAUACCGCAUAAUGCCUACGGGCCAAAGAGGGGGACCUUCGGGCCUCUCGCGUCAGGAUAUGCCUAGGUGGGAUUAGCUAGUUGGUGAGGUAAUGGCUCACCAAGGCGACGAUCCCUAGCUGGUCUGAGAGGAUGAUCAGCCACACUGGAACUGAGACACGGUCCAGACUCCUACGGGAGGCAGCAGUGGGGAAUAUUGCACAAUGGGCGCAAGCCUGAUGCAGCCAUGCCGCGUGUGUGAAGAAGGCCUUCGGGUUGUAAAGCACUUUCAGUCGUGAGGAAGGUGGUAGUGUUAAUAGCACCAUCAUUUGACGUUAGCGACAGAAGAAGCACCGGCUAACUCCGUGCCAGCAGCCGCGGUAAUACGGAGGGUGCGAGCGUUAAUCGGA
rnacentral:rRNA from 1 species